AUACAAAAGAUAUAAAUAAAUUUUAUUGGUUAAUAAUUAUAUGAAUAAUUUAAUUAAAUUAAAAUUAUAUUUAUUAGGUGAAAUUUUUAAAUAUAAAUUUAGUUUAAAUAGAAAUUUUUAUUAUUAUGAAAUUUAUUUUUAAACUAGGAUUAGAUACCCUAUUAUUUUAAAUGUAAAAUUUAUUAUCAAAGUAGUAUUAGUUAUGAUCUUUAAAUUUAAAGAUUUUGGCGGUAUUUUAGUCUAUUUAGAGGAACUUGUUCUAUAAUCGAUAAUCCACGAUUUAAUUUACUUAGGUUUAAUAAUUUGUAUACCGUCGUUAUUAGAAAAUUUUAUAAGAAUUUAAAUUUUUAAGGUUUUUUAUUAAAAUAUAUAUCAGAUCAAGGUGCAGUUUAUAUUUAAGAAGAAAUGAGUUACAAUAAAUUUAUUUAUAUGGAUUAGGAUAUUUAAAUAUUUUAUGAAGGUGGAUUUAAAAGUAAUAAAAUUUAUUUAAAUUUUAUGAUUUUAGCUCUAAAAUAUGUACAUAUCGCCCGUCGCUCUUAUUUUAAAGUAAGAUAAGUCGUAACAUAGUAGAUGUACUGGAAAGUGUAUCUAGAAU
rnacentral:rRNA from 1 species